rnacentral:rRNA from 1 species
GACGAACGCUGGCGGCGUGCUUAACACAUGCAAGUCGAACGGUAAGGCCUUCGGGUACACGAGUGGCGAACGGGUGAGUAACACGUGGGUGAUCUGCCCUGCACUUUGGGAUAAGCCUGGGAAACUGGGUCUAAUACCGAACACACCCUGCUGGCUGCAUGGCCCGGUGGGGGAAAGCUUUUGCGGUGUGGGAUGGGCCCGCGGCCUAUCAGCUUGUUGGUGGGGUGAUGGCCUACCAAGGCGACGACGGGUAGCCGGCCUGAGAGGGUGACCGGCCACACUGGGACUGAGAUACGGCCCAGACUCCUACGGGAGGCAGCAGUGGGGAAUAUUGCACAAUGGGCGCAAGCCUGAUGCAGCGACGCCGCGUGGGGGAUGACGGCCUUCGGGUUGUAAACCUCUUUCAGUGCCGACGAAGCGCAAGUGACGGUAAGCACAGAAGAAGGACCGGCCAACUACGUGCCAGCAGCCGCGGUAA